rnacentral:rRNA from 1 species
GUCAUAAUUAUUCUUGAGUCUCUUCCUGAAAAGUUUGAACAAUUUAAGGUCAACUAUAACUCUCUAAAGGAAAAAUGGCCACUCUCUGAGAUGACCGCAAGGAUCGUCCAGGAGGCAGAAAGGAUCAUGAGGCAGAAGAAAGACCAUGUCUUUCAUGUUGGCUCUAACAAGAGAAAGCAUGACGGACAAGGUUUCCCUAAGCCUCAGAAAAGGCAAGUCAAGAAAGAAGGCACUAAGCCAUUCAACCCUAAGGCAUUCAAGGGUAAAGAAGCCGGUGGUUCUUCUUCUGCUCCUAGCAGCUCCACUGCUGGAGAAAAUGCUUGUAACUUCUGCAAAGAGGAGGGACACUAUCAAAGGGACUGCCCAGGCUUUCUAAAAUGGAUGAACAAAAGAGGGAUUCGAUACGAUCCAAACUAUAAG